rnacentral:misc_RNA from 1 species
AACGCACAUUGCGCCCUUUGGCAUUCCGAAGGGCAUGCCUGUUCGAGCGUCAUUACACCAAUCAAGCCUGGCUUGGUAUUGGGCGACGGGGCCGUCACACGCCCCGCGCCCCAAAGACCCUCCGGCGGGACGGACCGAAUCUCAGCGUUGUGCAAACUUGUCGCUGGCGAGACGGGACGGCCGUGCCGUUAAACCCCCCAUUCUAAGGUUGACCUCGGAUCAGGUAGGGCUACCCGCUGAACUUAA